GACGAACGCUGGCGGCGUGCCUAAUACAUGCAAGUCGAACGCUUUUUCUUUCACCGGAGCUUGCUCCACCGAAAGAAAAAGAGUGGCGAACGGGUGAGUAACACGUGGGUAACCUGCCCAUCAGAAGGGGAUAACACUUGGAAACAGGUGCUAAUACCGUAUAACACUAUUUUCCGCAUGGAAGAAAGUUGAAAGGCGCUUUUGCGUCCAUGAUGGAUGGACCCGCGGUGCAUUAGCUAGUUGGUGAGGUAACGGCUCACCAAGGCAACGAUGCAAAGCCGACGUGAGAGGGUGAGCGGCCACACUGGGACUGAGACACGGCCCAGACUCCUACGGGAGGCAGCAGUAGGGAAUCUUCGGCAAUGGACGAAAGUCUGACCGAGCAACGCCGCGUGAGUGAAGAAGGUUUUCGGAUCGUAAAACUCUGUUGUUAGAGAAGAACAAGGAUGAGAGUAAAAUGUUCGUCCCUUGACGGUAUCUAACCAGAAAGCCACGGCUAACUACGUGCCAGCCGCCGCAGUAA
rnacentral:rRNA from 1 species